rnacentral:rRNA from 1 species
UGGCGGACGGGUGAGUAACACGUGAGCAACCUGCCUUUCAGAGGGGGAUAACGUUUGGAAACGAACGCUAAUACCGCAUAAAAUAUCGGAGUCGCAUGGCACUGAUAUCAAAGGAGCAAUCCGCUGAAAGAUGGGCUCGCGUCCGAUUAGGCAGUUGGCGGGGUAACGGCCCACCAAACCGACAAUCGGUAGCCGGACUGAGAGGUUGAACGGCCACAUUGGGACUGAGACACGGCCCAGACUCCUACGGGAGGCAGCAG